CUUACCAGCCCUCCCAUAGUAACACUGCUGUCCGUUAAAGCAGCAGUUGAUAGCUUCACACUCAGCUCCACUGAUACCAGGUUGUCCACAUUGGAUCUGCUCAUAAUCAGCUACAGCACACUUGUCAAGGGGCUCUGCCUGCGCCACUGGCUGCUGAAGCUGAAACCUCUGAGGAACCUGCUGACCAGAUUGCAGUUGACCUGACUGUUGAAACUGCUGGCCAGGUUGCUGAAACA